rnacentral:rRNA from 1 species
GCCUACGGGAGGCAGCAGUGGGGAAUAUUGCGCAAUGGGCGAAAGCCUGACGCAGCGACGCCGCGUGAGGGAUGAAGGUCUUCGGAUCGUAAACCUCUGUCAGCAGGGAAGAACGGUCACGGUGCUAAUCAGCAGUGAAUUGACGGUACCUGCAAAGGAAGCACCGGCUAACUCCGUGCCAGCAGCCGCGGUAAUACGGAUGGUGCGAGCGUUAAUCGGAGUUACUGGGCGUAAAGCGCUCGUAGGCGGUAUGUCAAGUCAAGGGUGAAAUCCCCGCGCUCAACGUGGGAACUGCCUUUGAAACU